rnacentral:rRNA from 1 species
UACGAAGGGGGCUAGCGUUGCUCGGAAUCACUGGGCGUAAAGCGCACGUAGGCGGCUUCUUAAGUCAGGGGCGAAAUCCUGGAGCUCAACUCCAGAACUGCCUUUGAUACUGAGGAGCUUGAGUCCGGGAGAGGUGAGUGGAACUGCGAGUGUAGAGGUGAAAUUCGUAGAUAUUCGCAAGAACACCAGUGGCGAAGGCGGCUCACUGGCCCGGUACUGACGCUGAGGUGCGAAAGCGUGGGGAGCAAACAGG